AGAUUGAACGCUGGCGGCAUGCCUUACACAUGCAAGUCGAACGGUAGAGUAGCAAUACUUGAGAGUGGCGAACGGGUGAGUAAUAUAUCGGAACGUGCCCAGUCGUGGGGGAUAACGUAGAGAAAUUUACGCUAAUACCGCAUACGAUCUAAGGAUGAAAGCGGGGGACCGUAAGGCCUCGCGCGAUUGGAGCGGCUGAUAUCAGAUUAGGUUGUUGGUGAGGUAAAAGCUCACCAAGCCGACGAUCUGUAGCUGGUUGAGAGAACGACCAGCCACACUGGGACUGAGACACGGCCCAGACUCCUACGGGAGGCAGCAGUGGGAAUUUGGACAAUGGGCGAAAGCCUGAUCCAGCAAUGCCGCGUGCAGGAAGAAGGCCUUGGUGU
rnacentral:rRNA from 1 species